rnacentral:rRNA from 1 species
UAUCGUUUAUUUGAUAGUACUUCACUACAUGGACAACUGUGGUAAUUCUAGAGCUAAUACAUGCUAAAAACCCCGACUUCGGAAGGGGUGUAUUUAUUAGAUAAAAAACCAAUGCCCUCCGGGGCUCCUUGGUGAAUCAUAAUAACUUAACGAAUCGCAUGGCCUUGUGCCGGCGAUGGUUCAUUCAAAUUUCUGCCCUAUCAACUUUCGAUGGUAGGAUAGUGGCCUACCAUGGUUUCAACGGGUAACGGGGAAUUAGGGUUCGACUCCGGAGAGGGAGCCUGAGAAACGGCUACCACAUCCAAGGAAGGCAGCAGGCGCGCAAAUUACCCAAUCCCGACACGGGGAGGUAGUGACAAUAAAUACUGAUACAGGGCUCUUUCGGGUCUUGUAAUUGGAAUGAGUACAAUUUAAAUCCCUUAACGAGGAACAAUUGGAGGGCAAGUCUGGUGCCAGCAGCCGCGGUAAUUCCAGCUCCAAUAGCGUAUAUUAAAGUUGUUGCAGUUAAAAAGCUCGUAGUUGAACCUUGGGCCUGGCUGGCCGGUCCGCCUCACCGCGUGUACUGGUCCGGCCGGGCCUUUCCUUCUGGGGAGCCGCAUGGCCUUCACUGGCCGUGUCGGGGAACCAGGACUUUUACUUUGAAAAAAUUAGAGUGUUCAAAGCAGGCCUUUGCUCGAAUACAUUAGCAUGGAAUAAUAGAAUAGGACGUGCGGUUCUAUUUUGUUGGUUUCUAGGACCGCCGUAAUGAUUAAUAGGGACAGUCGGGGGCAUCCGUAUUCAAUUGUCAGAGGUGAAAUUCUUGGAUUUAUUGAAGACGAACUACUGCGAAAGCAUUUGCCAAGGAUGUUUUCAUUAAUCAGUGAACGAAAGUUAGGGGAUCGAAGACGAUCAGAUACCGUCGUAGUCUUAACCAUAAACUAUGCCGACUAGGGAUCGGUGGGUGUUAUUAUUUUGACCCCAUCGGCACCUUACGAGAAAUCAAAGUUUUUGGGUUCUGGGGGGAGUAUGGUCGCAAGGCUGAAACUUAAAGGAAUUGACGGAAG